rnacentral:rRNA from 1 species
GGAGUUAGCCGGUGCUUCUUCUGUGAGUGAUGUCCUUCCUGCCGGUUAUUGACCCGCAGGCCUUCUUCCUCACUGAAAGUGCUUUACAACCCGAAGGCCUUCUUCACACACGCGGCAUGGCUGGAUCAGGGUUGCCCCCAUUGUCCAAUAUUCCCCACUGCUGCCUCCCGUAGGAGUCUGGGCCGUGUCUCAGUCCCAGUGUGGCUGAUCAUCCUCUCAGACCAGCUACGGAUCGUCGCCUUGGUGAGCCGUUACCUCACCAACCAGCUAAUCCGACAUAGGCUCAUCCGAUAGCGCGAGGCCCGAAGGUCCCCCGGCUUUCCCCCGUAGGGCGUAUGCGGUAUUAGCCCUGGGUUUCCCCCAGGGUUAUCCCCCACUACCGGGCAGAUUCCUAUGCAUUACUCACCCGUCCGCCGCUCGCCACCAGGGAGCAAGCUCCCCGUGCUGCCGCUCGACUUGCAUGUGUUAGGCCUGCCGCCAGCGUUCAAUCUGAGCAUGAUCAAACUCUGA